rnacentral:rRNA from 1 species
UACGUAGGCAGCGAGCGUUGUUCGGAAUUACUGGGCGUAAAGCGUGCGUAGGUGGUGAGUUAAGUCUGUCGUGAAAGCCCCGGGCUCAACCUGGGAAUGGCGAUGGAUACUGGCUCGCUAGAGUGCGGUAGAGGAGAGUGGAAUUCCCGGUGUAGCAGUGAAAUGCGUAGAGAUCGGGAGGAACAUCAGUUGCGAAGGCGGCUCUCUGGACCAGCACUGACACUGAGGCACGAAAGCGUGGGGAGCAAACAGG